AAAGCGUGCGCAGGCGGUUGUGUAAGUCAGAUGUGAAAUCCCCGGGCUCAACCUGGGAAUUGCAUUUGAGACUGCACGGCUAGAGUGUGUCAGAGGGGGGUAGAAUUCCACGUGUAGCAGUGAAAUGCGUAGAUAUGUGGAGGAACACCGAUGGCGAAGGCAAUCCCCUGGACCUGUACUGACGCUCAUGCACGAAAGCGUGGGGAGCAAACAGGAUUAGAUACCCUAGU
rnacentral:rRNA from 1 species